CUGCUGCCUCCCGUAGGAGUUUGGGCCGUGUCUCAGUCCCAAUGUGGCCGUCCACCCUCUCAGGCCGGCUACUGAUCGUCGCCUUGGUGGGCCGUUACCCCGCCAACAAGCUAAUCAGACGCGGGUCCAUCUUACACCACCGGAGUUUUUCACACAAAUCCAUGCGGCUUCGUGCGCUUAUGCGGUAUUAGCACCUAUUUCUAAGUGUUAUCCCCCAGUGUAAGGCAGGUUACCCACGCGUUACUCACCCGUCCGCCACUAAGUAA
rnacentral:rRNA from 1 species